AGCGAGUAUGACCCACCCGUUCCCAUCCCGAACACGGAAGUGAAACUACUCAGCACUGACGAUACUGCGCUGGUAACGGCGUGGGAAAAUAGGCCACUGCCA
rnacentral:rRNA from 1 species